rnacentral:tRNA from 1 species
GCCGCGCUAGAGAAAUGGUUAACUCGUCGGCCUCCUAUUGUAAAGAUCAAUACCUUAGCCGAAGAUUCCCGGUUCGAGUCCGGGGCGUGGUG